UGUAAGAAAAAAAACAUAUUCCCAAGGUGU
rnacentral:piRNA from 1 species